GGAAGAAGAAAUACCUGCCAAAUGCACAAAAAGAAAUAGGACAAGAACUCCGGGUUAGAAAUUCACAGCGCUCAGUCCCAAGGGAUUGGGAACUUGCUGUACAGAUGAUCUCACUGUGAAAGUUUCAGAGACUCAAGGGGGUUUAUUAAUAGUUGGGGCACUGAAACCUCUGCUGCUUGUAGCAGUGACCUUUACAAUAGCAGGUUUGUCUUUUAAAAUAUCUAGAACUUGUGCUUAAUGUUCUUUACUGAUUUAAACCAGGCAAGGGAGCAGUAAAUCAGAUUAUCAUCAUCCUCAGGAAGGAGAGCAAUCUGGAAUGUUAAUUUUCCAGCUGAGGUUACUGGAAAUUUCUUUUCUGUUUAUUUAUUAAAGGGAGAGAAUUAAAAAAGGAGGAAAGCCAAAGGUCCCUGAACAAGAUCUUCUAUUCUCGGGAUAUGGGAGGCAUCAGCACAGUAGAAAACGAAGCUGACCAUCUCUCAGGAGGCAGGAAUUUGCGUGUCAGGGCCAGUGGAGGUCUUCCUUGGCUCCUUGCAGUGUCUGGAAUCAGGGAAGAACUGAAAUAUUGUCUAAUCUGGAGAAGCUACACCGCUCAAUAUGGAGGUUAG
rnacentral:lncRNA from 1 species